AUUGAACGCUGGCGGCAUGCCUUACACAUGCAAGUCGAACGGCAGCACGGGUGCAUGCACCUGGUGGCGUGUGGCGAACGGGUGAGUAAUAUAUCGGAACGUACCUUAUUGUGGGGGAUAACGCAGCGAAAGCUGUGCUAAUACCGCAUAAUCCCUAAGGGGGAAAGCGGGGGACCGUAAGGCCUCGCGCAAUUAGAGCGGCCGAUACCUGAUUAGCUAGUUGGUGAGGUAAAGGCCCACCAAGGCAACGAUCAGUAGCUGGUCUGAGAGGACGAUCAGCCACACUGGGACUGAGACACGGCCCAGACUCCUACGGGAGGCAGCAGUGGGGAAUUUUGGACAAUGGGGGCAACCCUGAUCCAGCAAUGCCGCGUGAGUGAAGAAGGCCUUCGGGUUGUAAAGCUCUUUUGUCAGGGAAGAAACAGCAGCUCUAACACAGUUUGCGAAUGACGGUACCUGAAGAAUAAGCACCGGCUAACUACGUGCCAGCCGCCGCAGUAA
rnacentral:rRNA from 1 species